rnacentral:rRNA from 1 species
GACGAACCGUGCAAACGUUAUUCGGAAUCACUGGGCUUAAAGGGCGCGUAGGCGGGUACUCAAGUCUGUGGUGAAAUCCUCCGGCUCAACCGGAGAACUGCCAUGGAUACUGGGUGUCUCGAGGGUGGUAGGGGUAUGCGGAACUAUCGGUGGAGCGGUGAAAUGCGUUGAUAUCGAUAGGAACUCCGGUGGCGAAGGCGGCAUACUGGACCACAUCUGACGCUGAGGCGCGAAAGCCAGGGGAGCGAACGGG